CCGCCCGUCACACCAUCCGAGUAGAGGGUACCCGAAGUCGGUAGUCUAACCGUAAGGAGGACGCUGCCGAAGGUAUGUUUUGUAAGGAGGGUGAAGUCGUAACAAGGUAGUCGUACCGGAAGGUGCGGCUGGAUCACCUCCUUUCUAAG
rnacentral:rRNA from 1 species